rnacentral:lncRNA from 1 species
CUCUCCCGCCGACUCUCUCACUCGAGACUCGCGCGCGUUUUCUGAGGAGAUUUCAGAGGAGUUGGACCGCGGCGACGCCUCGACUCUGAUCCGGCAAUCAUAGCUCAGCGAGCCGAUGCCUCAACUCCGAUCCGGCGAUCAUAGCUCAGCGAGCCGACGCCUCGACUCUAGAAACCGCGCCGACACCUCGACUCCGGUGCAAGGCGACGGACGGUGCUCUCGAUUAUUGGUGCCGAGAAUCUAGUUUUUUCUGAUCUCAAAGGAGCUCGUGCUUCGGAUUCGUCCAGUUUCUCUUAGAUUUCCUCUCUCUGUUUCUUUCAUAACCAUCUCAAUUCCUCAUUGGAGAUUUACGUUUUCCGAUCUGCUCUCGAUGACCACAACGAAGCCAGCCACUACGUUCUCCGGAAGUCGCAGGAAGUCACCGGAGACUCUUGCCGGAGGUCGACGAAGACGUUGCUAGAGAGGAGGUCGUUGGAGGCGAGAGUAGGUUUCGGUGGAGGUGAGAGUAGUUUUUGCUAUGGUUGGUAGUAGGUUUUGGGGGAGGGUGAGAGUAGGUUUUGGCGGAGGUGAGAGUAGUUUUUGUUUGUGUUUGGUAGUACGUUUGGGUGGAGGUGAGAGUAGCUAGGUAUCGGCGGAGGUCAGAGUAGUUGUUACUGUGUUUGGUAGUAGGUUUUGGUGGAGGUGAGAGUAUGUAGGUUUUGGUGCUUGGUAGAAGUUUUUUUUUUUUUGAUACCGUGCUUGUUAAUAGUUUUAGCUCUGUUUCGUAGUAGGUUUUGUUAUGUUCAGCAAUAGCUUUUAUUCUGUUCAGUAGUAGCUUUUGUUUACUGGCUGUAGUAGCUGGGUAAUAGUUUUUGUUAUUGGUAAUAGCUUUUAUAGUUAGGGGUAGUAGCUUUUGUUGCCGAUGAUAAUAUCUUUUGUUACUGGUGGUAAUAGCUUUAAUAGUUGGGGGUAAUAGCUUUUGUUGUUGGCGGUAGUAGUUUUUGUAGAUGGUGGUAGUAGUUUUUGUAGAUGGUGGUAGUAGCUUUUGUGGCCGGUGGUAGUAUUUUUUGUGUUCGUCGAAAACCUCACAGUAGUAGCUUUUGUAGGCGGUGAUUGUAGCUUUUGUCGCUUGUGGUAGUAGCUUUUGUGGUUGGUGGUAGUAGCUUUUGUGUUCAUCGGAAACCUCACAGUAGUAGCUUUUGUAGGCGGUGAUAGUAGCUUUUGUAGCUGGUGGUAGUAGCUUUUAUAGCUGGUAGUAGUAAUUUUUGUCAUCGUCGGAGGUCGGUCGGAAAUCUCGCCGGAGGUCGGCCGGAAACCUCGCCGGAGGUCCGCCUGAAAUCUCGCCGGAGGUCCGCUAAAAAUCUCGCCGGAGGUCCGCCGGAGACUAUUCCGAAAUGAGAGUGAUUGUUGACUUUUUAUACUAGUGGCAUUCUUGUAAAUAUAAAAGAGAAAAUCUAAUUUUUUUUGUUGGAUGGCAAUCUGUAAUUAUGUUGAACUUCAAUACUUAAUACAAAACCUUAUUUAGACUUGGGUGGACUUAUGUGGGUAAAAAUGUUGUGGUGGAUCUAUGUGGGAAAAAAUGUCUCAAAGUGGACUUAUAUGUAAUUGGCCCUAAUGCUAAAUGCAGACUGAUUUUCACCCUUCUUGCUUCAUUGCGUAUAGUAUCAUCUUCACAUGGCUAGUUUAAUUAACUAUAAACUAUAUCCUAGCUAUUCAGAAUCUACUUCAAAUUCUAAUCGCCAGCAUAGGGCUGGUCAUUCUUUGUAUUUUAACUAUUUUUAGUAAACUAUAGAAAUUCUAUAACACAAAAAGUCUCAUAAUUGUUUAGUAAACGAUGAUGUUCUUCGAGUUAUAGUCUUUCCUUGUAUAGUUCAAGUCCUUCAAUUUGUCUUGUUUUCUUCAUUUGCUAGCUGCAGUGGAAAAAAGGUUAGUGGAAAACACAAUUGGAACAAAAUUCAUUGCAAAAUUUAAAUAUAGCAUGCACAUAAGAAUAAUAUAUACCUUGUGGAAAAACGAACAAGUAAUGACGGCAUGCAGCUCAGGUAUAACAACGCAUUCUGUAAUCAGAAAACUGUAGAAUAUUUC